UCUAUCUUACUUGAUCAUGAUCUGUUCUAUAGGCUCCUACCUCUGUAUCUUUGAUUCUUGUCAAGCCGGAAACCCAUGUCUGGUUGAUGAACCAUGACUAUAUAGCUAGAGCGUGAUUAACCGAGCCUCAUGGUCUUGACCAUGGCUGAUGGCUCUGUAGAGAAUCGUUGCCAACCCAUCUUAUGGGUUCUGGUAUGGCUACAUGAUUGUCUAACAAACA